rnacentral:rRNA from 1 species
AGAGUUUGAUCCUGGCUCAGGACGAACGCUGACGGUGUGCUUUAGACAUGCAAGUCGAACGAGAAAGCCCUUCGGGGUGAGUACAGUGGCGAACGGGUGAGUAACACGUGGGUAACCUGCCCCUCGCAGAGGGACAACCGGGGGAAACCCCGGCUAAUACCUCGUACGCUUGCCGGGCCGCAUGGUUCGGCAAGGAAAGGUAGCUUCGGCCAUCCGGCGAGGGAUGGGCCCGCGGUCCAUUAGCUAGUUGGUGGGGUAACGGCCCACCAAGGCGACGAUGGAUAGCUGGUCUGAGAGGACGAUCAGCCACACUGGGACUGAGACACGGCCCAGACUCCUACGGGAGGCAGCAGUCGGGAAUCUUGCGCAAUGGGCGAAAGCCUGACGCAGCAACACCGUGUGGGCGACGAAGGCCUUCGGGUCGUAAAGCCCUGUUGUUGGGGACGAAGGGCGAAGGGUUAAUAGCCCUUAGCCUGACGGUACCCUUCGAGGAAGCCCCGGCUAACUACGUGCCAGCAGCCGCGGUAAUACGUAGGGGGCGAGCGUUGUCCGGAAUUAUUGGGCGUAAAGAGCGUGUAGGCGGUUCGGUAAGUCUGCCGUGAAAACCUGGGGCUCAACCCCGGGCGUGCGGUGGAUACUGCCGGGCUAGAGGGUGGUAGAGGCGAGUGGAAUUCCCGGUGUAGCGGUGAAAUGCGCAGAUAUCGGGAGGAACACCAGUAGCGAAGGCGGCUCGCUGGGCCAUUCCUGACGCUGAGACGCGAAAGCAUGGGGAGCGAACAGGAUUAGAUACCCCCGUAGUCC